CCGUCCCCACCCCAGCUCUAGCUCUGCCAGGGAGGCCCAGGCAGGGAGGUGAGCCCCUCCGGAGCAGCCUAAUUGCCACUGUCACAGCUCAAGUGUGUCGCCGUGGGAAUGGGCUAUUUCUAAGCACGGCAGGACGGACAGCGCCCACCCGGAGGAAAGCCUGACAGAUGAGACUUCGCAAGGUGUUGGAUUCCAGCUGCUGUGGCCCUGAAGGUGGGUGGUGGGAAGAACGGGAGAAUGAAGCCAGCCUUGGGAGAGGUAGGACGCCAGCCCGGCCCAGCUGCUUCCAGCAUCUGGAUCCAGCCUCACCUGAAGCCAGCCACCUCCUGGACUGCAAAGUCAUUGUCAACACCGAAACACAGGGUUUCUGACCAUUGCAACCCAGGGUCCCGGCGUGUCGUGGCUGCAGACCCUGCAGACCCCUAUGAAGAUGGUCCUGCCUGCCUUGCAUCGGGCCUCUAGCUAGGGACUGUGGUUGCAGACGUAGUUCUGGGACUGAGCUCCUGGUGAGAGGCCAGUGGUGAGGGAAGAGAGACCAGCAGAGAAAAGAGUGGAGCCUCGGGCUGCUAGCAGAGUGGCAGAAACCGAGCCUGCGAGAGGAAAACAUUGUUUCCCGCGGCCUCCUGCUGAGCCAUGGGGACCCAGAUAUUGCGAAGUCCAGCUGGGGCCAACCCUAAGGAAGGAAGGAGGGAAGGGGACAGGGAGGGGUGAGGAGGAGAGGGAGGGAGUGACCUCUGCUUAGCACCUGCACUUGAGCAGCGGUGGCCUUUCACGCGCACACGCUUCCCCACCUGGAGCGCCGUCUCCAAUGCUGUUUGUACACACACCAGCAUUCUGACAGUCACUAAAUGUUUUCUUUGAAUGAGUUCACUUUUUCACCUAGAGUGCUUUCUAAAAGCAGACCAUGAUCGUGAAUAGUAAGUAUCACUUCCAUAAAUAGAAAGUGUCAGAAAA
rnacentral:lncRNA from 1 species